rfam:Macaca mulatta chromosome 2, whole genome shotgun sequence.
AUCACCUAAGUAUUUUGUUAAAAUGCAGAUUCUGAUUCAACAUAUCUGGGCUGUGGCCUCAGAUUCUGCAUUUAUGACAAGCCCUCAAGUGAUUGGUA